GUGGGGGAGAGGCUGUC
rnacentral:miRNA from 3 species